rnacentral:misc_RNA from 1 species
GAAAUGCGAUAAGUAAUGUGAAUUGCAGAAUUCAGUGAAUCAUCGAAUCUUUGAACGCACAUUGCGCCCGCCAAUAUUCUGGCGGGCAUGCCUGUUCGAGCGUCAUUACAACCCUCAGGCCCCCGGGCCUGGCGUUGGGGAUCGGCGGAAGCCCCCUGCGGGCACAACGCCGUCCCCCAAAUGCAGUGGCGGUCCCGCCGCAGCUUCCAUUGCGUAGUAGCUAACACCUCGCAACUGGAGAGCGGCGCGGCCACGCCGUAAAACACCCAACUUCUGAAUGUUGACCUCGAAUCAGGUAGGAAUACCCGCUGAACUUAAGC